rnacentral:rRNA from 1 species
UACCAGCACCCCGAGUGGUCGGGACGAUUAUUGGGCCUAAAGCAUCCGUAGCCGGUCAUGCAAGUCCUCCGUUAAAUCCAGCCGCUCAACGGUUGGGCUGCGGAGGAUACUACGUGGCUAGGAGGCGGGAGAGGCAAGCGGUACUCAGUGGGUAGGGGUAAAAUCCUUUGAUCCAUUGAAGACCACCAGUGGCGAAGGCGGCUUGCCAGAACGCGCUCGACGGUGAGGGAUGAAAGCUGGGGGAGAAAACCGG